CGAAUGGCUCAUUAAAUCAGUUAUUGUCUACUUGAUAGCACCUUACUACAUGGAUAACCGUGGUAAUUCUAGAGCUAAUACAUGCUGAAAACCCCGACUUCGGAAGGGGCGUGUUUAUUAGAUACAAAACCAAUGCCCUCCGGGCUCACUGGUGAUUCAUAAUAACCUCUCGAAUCRCACGGSCUUGCGCCGGCGAUGGUUCAAUCAAGUUUCUGCCCUAUCAACUUUCGACGGCUGGGUACCGGCCAGCCGUGGUGACAAYGGGUAACGGANGGUUAGGGCUCGGCCCCNGANAGNCCGCCUGAGAGACGGCGAACACAUCCAAGGAAGGCAGCAGGCGCGCAAAUUAUCCAAUUCCGACGCGGAGAGAUAGUGACGAAACAUACUGAUACAGGGCUCUUUUGGGUCUUGUAAUUGGAAUGAGUACAACUCAAAUCCCUUAACGAGGAACAAUUGGAGGGCAAGUCUGGUGGACCUCCAGUCCCGGGGGGGUGGUGGGGGGCCCCCCUUUGCUGGCGCCAGCAAGAGUAGGGAGCCCGGUGGCGGCGGCGACGCUGCCGGGCCCUCAGACCUGCUAGUCGAGCACCCGCUCAGGGCGGGAGGGUGCCGGCGAGACAACCUGGAUCGGCGAAGGCUAAGGGGCGGAGAGCCCUAUGCUAAUGCCGAGCGGAGCGACCUGGGAGCGAUCCCAGGCCCGCCCGUGUAGAGCGCGGAAAGGUGUCGGCCGCACUGCGGGGGGUUUUCCCCCCCCGGCAGGCGGCUUGAGGGACGUGCCGUACCCCGCGAAAGCGGGUCACCAUCUGGAGCGCCCGCCACGUAAAGGAUGGUGAAGCCACUGGAGCGGUCUCCAGUGGUGGUCAGGGUGCCAAAGACGGCCAGCAGCCGCGGUAAUUCCAGCUCCAAUAGCGUAUAUUAAAGUUGUUGCAGUUAAAAAGCUCGUAGUUGAUCAUCGGGCCUGGCCGCCCGGUCUGCCUCACCGCAUGCACUGGCGCGGCCGGGCCUUCUCCUCUGGGGAGCCGCAUGUCCUUCACUGGUCGUGUCGGGGAACCAGGGCCUUUACUGUGAAAAAAUUAGAGUGUUCAAAGCAGGCCUAUGCUCGAAUACAUUACAUGGAAUAAUAGAAUAGGACGCGUGGUUCUAUUUUGUUGGUUUCUAGGACCGCCGUAAUGAUUAAUAGGGACAGUCGGGGGCAUCAGUAUUCAGCCGUCAGAGGUGAAAUUCUUGGAUCGGCUGAAGACUAACUACUGCGAAAGCAUUUGCCAAGGAUGUUUUCAUUAAUCAGGAACGAAAGUUAGGGGAUCGAAAACGAUCAGAUACCGUUGUAGUCCUAACCAUAAACUAUGCCGACUGGGGAUCGGGCGGCGCUAUUUCUUGGCCCGCCCGGCACCCUGCGCGAAAGCAAAGUGUUUGGGUUCUGGGGGGAGUACGGUCGCAAGGCUGAAACUUAAAGGAAUUGACGGAAGGGCACCACAAGGGGUGGAGCCUGCGGCUUAAUUUGACUCAACACGGGGAAACUCACCAGGUCCAGACACAACUAGGAUUGACAGAUUGAGAGCUCUUUCUUGAUUUUGUGGGUGGUGGUGCAUGGCCGUUCUUAGUUGGUGGAGUGAUUUGUCUGCUUAAUUGCGAUAACGAACGAGACCUUAACCUGCUAAAUAGCCCGCGCCGCUCCGGCGGCACGUAGGCUUCUUAGAGGGACUAUCGGCUCAAGCCGAUGGAAGUUUGAGGCAAUAACAGGUCU
rnacentral:rRNA from 1 species